GUGGUUCAUACGGCUGCAGUAAUAGUUUCCGAGCCUCCGGAUUGACAUGGCAAGCCAAGGAGUUGGCGAAGCGCCCACUUGCCGCAUGGAACACUUCGUCGAUUGUGUCUAGAUUGCUUUGCACCCGUCGCAGCUGGGAAUCGGAUGUAAGUGCGCCCCAAACCGGAAGACCAUAUUGCCAAAUGGGCAUGAUGAGCUGCUUGAUGACUAUAGCCUUGGUUUCGCUUGGCAGCCGGCUUUUUGGGCCAGCAAGCCAGUCCAGUUUGGCCGCUCUUGAUCGGAGUUUUGUGCAGAUCCUCGUGAUGUGUGAGCUUAGGGUGAUUUGGACAGCUCCAAUGCAUCCACAAUCUGCAUCAGCUCAGGCAGUGUGACUGGUCUGAAGGGAAUCCUGGUUUCCUGGUCCGGUUGUAGCUGCUUCUGCCGUUUUGACUGCUCACGCUCUCUAUUGAUUGCGGCCCGCUCUUCAUCUGAAUUGGACAGUAUCGGGCUGAAUCUCUCCUCCAGGAUUGUGAGCCCCUUGUUAAGACGAUUUUGCGCCGCCCUGUAGUUUCGUCUGGCUUCGAUGGUGCGGGUUGC